rnacentral:lncRNA from 1 species
GCCAUCGUGGACCCCCUGGUGGCCCUGGCCUGGCUGCAUGUGCUUCAUGGGCAGAGCCUGGUGGCCCUGAACAUCCUGCAGUCUGUCCAGGAUGCAGUGGUGGUCAGCGAGGACCAGGAGGGUGUGAUUUCCAACAUUGGUGGCCGUGGCUCUGAAGAGGACGGGACGGACGAGGCAGGCAGCCGAGGGCUACUACCACGCCCUAUGGGUGGCUUGGGACCUGGGCCAGCGGAGGAACCAGGCAGUGUUGCUGGCCAACUUUGGCACCUUGUGCCUGCACGCGGGUGCCAGCAGGCUGGCCCAGCACUACCUCCUGGAGGCUGUACGUCUGUUCUCGAGGCUUCCCUGUGGGGAGUGUGGCCGGGACUUCACCCACAUACUCCUGGGCUACCUCUUCACCCGCCAGGGCCCGGCCCAGCAGUGCAAGGGCUACUACGAGUGGGCCCUUCUGGUCGCCGUGGAGAUGGACCACGUGGAGAUGAUUCCAGGGCCUACAAAUCCGCUCUGGACUACACCAAACGAAGUCUGGGCAUUUUCAUUGACCUCCAGAAGAGAAGGAGGCGCAUGCCUGGCUGCAAGCAGGGAAGAUCUAUUACCUCCUGCAGCAGAGCGAGCUGGUAGACCUGUACAUCCAGGUGGCUCAGAAUGUGGACCUGUACACAGGCGACCCCAACCUGGGGCUGGAGCUGUUUGAGGCAGCUGGAGACAUCUUCUUCAAUGGGGCCUGGGAGCGGGAGGAAGGCCUGUCCUUCUACCGGGACCGGGCCCUGCCCCGGCAGUGACUACGGGCAACCGCAAGGUGGAGCUGCAGCUACAGCUGUGCAACAAGCUGGUGUCACUGCUGGCCACACUGGAGGAGCCCCAGGAGGACUUGGAGUUUGCUUACAUGGCCCUAGCACUCAGGAUCACUCUGGGGGACCGGCUGAACGAACGCGUGGCCUACCACCGGCUGGCCGCCCUGCACCACCGGCUGGACCAUGGCAAGCUGGCGGAGCACUUCUACCUCAAGGCCGUUUAGCUCUGCAACUCGCCGCUGGAGUUCGACGAGGAGACCCUCUACUACGUGAAGGUGUACCCUGGUGCUCGGUGACAUCAUCUUCUACGACCUGAAGGUGGGUGGGAGGAGCAGGGCUCGGGGUGUUCCUGGCCCCCUUGGAGUGGGAUCUCCACCCGGACCCCAGAGGC